CGUCGCCCAACGACCCAUUUUCUACUAGAUGGCAGCGGCUAUGAGAACCCGGAGGAUGGAGCCUUGGGCCCUGAGGACGAGGACUCCUUCUCCAGCGGUAACUGGGGUCCCCCAGGGCCUCAGAGAAGUGGGAGGACCCUCAAGAGCCCAAAAGGGGCAGGUGUGAUCCCUGGGCCUCCCUUUCCCCCCCUUCUGCAGCAGCCCAGUCUUAUGAGAAUGAGGGCGAAGAGCUGGCCCAGCCAGUGGCCAGGACAGUAGACCUCCUGAGCCCAGACCUCCUGAGCCCCAAUGGGCCUGCCUGGGACCCCAGCCGGGAGGCCACUUCCCUUGGGUCCCAGUCCUAUGAGGAUAUGAGAGGGAUCCUGUAUGCAGCCCCCCAGCUCCACUUCCUUCGGGCCCAGCCUGGUCCCAAUCAUGAGGAAGGUGGGUGCUUCUGCUGACGCCCCCUGUGCAUCCUCGGGGGCUGACUUCCUUCCCGCCGACUUUCCGCCCUCCCUGUUUUGACUGCUUCCUGGUCCCGCCCAGAUGCAGACUCCUACGAGAACAUGGAUAAUCCUGAUGGGCCCGAGCCAGCAUGGGGAGGAGGGGGCCACAUGGGCACCUGGACCACCAGGUGACCCCCUCCAGAGCCCAGGCCUCCUUGGGCCCCCAAUAUACCACACCUGACUCAAAUCUGGGGACCCCAAGCAGAACUUGUUCGACCUCUGGAGCAACGCUGCUGAGGAUGUGUGUGUGUGGAUGUGUGUGUGCGCGUGUGCAUGUGUACGCAAGUGAAACUUCCCAGCCCUCUUUCCUCUCCCCAAAUAAACUCAGCGAGCUCUUCCAAUCCUCCGAAGUCGUGUGCUUGUGUGGGCGGGGAAGGAAAGGUGAGAAUGUGUGCAUCCCCCCAACCCCGGCUCUGGCCAAGGAGGGAGGGCUGCAGCCUCCAUCUAACAAGCCCUUUUCCCUCUGGUGCCUUGGCCUUCACCCAUUGCCCCCACUUGCCUGCCCACCCACCUAAUUCCUCACCAGCCACCCUCCCACCACCCAGUUAUGCAGGCAUUGUUUGUUCAUUAGCUGUGUGCUGGGUGCAUAGUGCAGAAGGAACAAUUAGGAACUGGCCAACUAGUUAGGAAGCAUCAGUUAUCAUCCCUGACGUUUAUUGAGCACCUCUGUCGGUCUAAGCACUCAUAGCAGUUCACCCAUUUCAUCCUGCCAAUAACCUCACCAGGUUGUUCAAGAGACUUUAUGUCUAUUACUCAUUUCCUCUUCACAAACAACCAGAUGAGGUAGGUAUAUUAUUCUUAUGCCCAUUUCAUAGAUGAGGACACUGAGGCAGAGAAGUCGGAUCACAUGCCCAAGCUUCGCCUAGUUGGUAAGUGGAGGGCUCAGGGCCUGAACUUUCUAGAGCCCACAUUCAACCUUGACACUCUCUCUGUAGGUGCAAUUUUAUAGAUGGGAAACUGAGGUUCAGAGAAGCUCAGCUGCAUGUCUGAGGUCAUGCAACUAGCAUUUGGCAGACCUAGGAUGUGAAUUCAGAAAUCUGCCUGCAGUUGCAGCUUCUGUACCUUAUGACCUAAUAUAAAGCCUGCCUGCUCCUGAUUUAAACCAUCAGCAGCCGCUGAAGUCAUUAGGUAGCAAGUGACACCACACCCAAAUUCUUGUCUCAGGAAGCUGGAAUUGAAUCAGUUGCUGAUAAUCUUGGUGCCUUCUGCCUGGACUCUCUGCCACAAGUCUCCUCAGCGCCAGUGGCCUUCUGAAGCCCAGGACUGACCUGUCCCUCUCCUGCUCAAGAAAUUUCAAUACUCCCUUUAAGAUUAAAAUUUUUCAGUAUUUAAAUUUUUAUUUCUAGAAAUCCUUUUCUUACUGCACCUAUUUUUGUUUUUAUAAACUCUAUUCCUUCCUU
ensembl:lincRNA